rnacentral:rRNA from 1 species
GGGCCCGCACAAGCGGUGGAGCAUGUGGUUUAAUUCGAUGAUACGCGAGGAACCUUACCAGGGCUUAAAUGUAAGUUGCAUUAGUUAGAGAUAGCUAUUUCUUCGGACUACUUACAAGGUGCUGCAUGGUUGUCGUCAGCUCGUGCCGUGAGGUGUCAGGUUAAGUCCUAUAACGAGCGCAACCCCUGUUGUUAGUUGCCAUCGAGUCAUGUCGGGAACUCUAACAAGACUGCCGGUGCAAACCGUGAGGAAGGUGGGGAUGACGUCAAAUCAUCACGGCCCUUACGUCCUGGGCUACACACGUGCUACAAUGGCCGGUACAGAGAGCAGCCACUACGCGAGUAGGCGCGAAUCUUCAAAGCCGGUCUCAGUUCGGAUCGGAGUCUGCAACUCGACAACAUGAAGUCGGAAUC